AACGAACGCUGGCGGCAGGCCUAACACAUGCAAGUCGAGCGCGCCCUUCGGGGUGAGCGGCGGACGGGUGAGUAACGCGUGGGAACGUGCCCUUUGCUACGGAAUAGUCUCGGGAAACUGGGGGUAAUACCGUAUGAGCCCUUCGGGGGAAAGAUUUAUCGGCAAAGGAUCGGCCCGCGUUGGAUUAGGUAGUUGGUGGGGUAAUGGCUCACCAAGCCGACGAUCCAUAGCUGGUUUGAGAGGAUGAUCAGCCACACUGGGACUGAGACACGGCCCAGACUCCUACGGGAGGCAGCAGUGGGGAAUCUUAGACAAUGGGACGCAAGCCUGAUCUAGCCAUGCCGCGUGAGCGAUGAAGGCCUUAGGGUUGUAAAGCUCUUUCGUGGGGGGAAGAUAAUGACUGUACCCCAAGAAGAAGCCCCGGCAACUCCGUGCCAGCAGCCGCGGUAAU
rnacentral:rRNA from 1 species